GUGGCAAGAUGGAAUUAAUCAUCUCUACUCUCAUUUUCCUUCUCACUUCCUGCUACUCCUUUACGUUUUUUGGUUAGGUUUUGUUUAUCAACCUCUCAGUCAUUAGGGCUGGCAAUUUUAUGAUGUAGUUAGUUGACUGCCUCCUCCUUGUUUCUCAGGUUCAUUCCCCAGAAGUGCAGAUUCCAUUUUUGGAAUUAGGCUUUCCUUCUUCUAAAAUUGUUUGUUUUAACGGUAUUUAUAUAUGUUUUGAAUGUAAUUUAAUUGGUCAACCUAAUUUUUCUAAUGGGAGUUUAAAAUGGAUGGCCUAAAGGGAUUAAAAAUGGUGGCAGAGUAAGUGGAAGCUCACAGACAUGCUCCCAGGACCAAACUGGAAAUACAGCAAAAAUACCGAAGAGCCAUCCUGAAAAAUGAACUGAGGCCUACCUGGAGAGAACCCUGGUAACCAUAGACAGAAAGCAGAGACCUCAUAGAGCCUGGUAGGAAGGGCAGAGGUACAGAAGGGCUGGAUGGGCUCCCGCAGACAGCAGUUGAAGUACGGAGAGUUAUCUCAGCUGUUGGGGUUUGCCACUGAGAACUCUGGGGUUUAAUCCUCAAGCUGGGCCCUCCCAGCAUAGAGGACCAGAACUGAGAAAGGUGUCCACGUAACAUCUGGCUGUGAAAAACAGCUGGGUUGCUUUCUGCCAGGGAUAGAGAGAUGGAAAUGCAGGCACCCUCUUAAAAAGCCAACACACAAAAUUCUGUCUGCAGCCACUCACCUUGUGUUUUGGCAAAGGGUGGGCAGAGUGGACUGGAGCUGUAUAAAUAUAAGCCAGGGUUGGGGGAUCUGGGGAUAGGGCUUGGAAGGCCGACGCCCAGGUUUCCUGUGCUGAGUCAUUCCCUCACGCUGCAGAGGUCAUCUUUCUCAGGUAAACCUAUACCGUCCUUAUGUUUUUGCCUGGGGGAAAGACAGUUGACCCACACUAUGGAUAAUCCUCUGCCCCACCCUGUGGAGUUUUUGAGGCCUAUAAAGAGACCGAGAAUAGGAAUUAGCCUCCUGGCAGAAGCAAUUGUCCCACCCUGUUGGAAAACCUCUUACCCCACCUGUGGACCAUUGCUUGAGGAUACUCAGACUGAAUCCAAUCAGACUGCAGGCAGAGGUGGUUCUCUGGAGGCUUUGAGUCUUUGCCUGUUCUAAUUAGAAACAGCAGUUUGGGUUACCCCACAGAUACCAUCCCAGACUGCUCAGCAAGGCAAAAGCCAGCAGAGCCCCAAGUGCUUGCAGCUGACACUUGUGGGACCAGCUCUGUGGGGGAAAGGAAGUACAACCCAGAAUAGGGUCAAUCAAGGUGUGAGACUCAAGGCAAACCCAGCCUCUGGGCUGAGGAGUCCUUGACCACUGGACAGGUGGCACAAAGACAUUGGGGUUGAACCUCACUGGCAGCAAGUGAGAGGGGAGAUCCCUUCCAUAAUGAGACAUCAACAGUCAGGCCUCAAUUACAACAGGAGAACCCAACAGUGCACACAAGGGGCAUUCCUAGAGCAUCCAGCUCAGGUGAACAGAGUCUACACACUGGACACUUAAAGACACCUUCUACAUAAGGCCAUCCCACAAUGACUGGGAGGCGUAGCAGUUCUAUCUGAAACAUAGAAGCAAAUAUAAAGAGAUAGCCAAUAAGGGGAGACAUAGAAACAACCUCCAAAUGAGAGAAAUAAUGUGCAGAAAAAGAAUUAAGUAAGAUGGAGGUAAGCAACCUAUUAGUUAGAAUUCAAAAUAAUGGUUAUAAAGGUGCUAAAGGAAUUUAGUGCAAAUUAUAACAGCAUGGAAAGGAUAUAGAGGUAAUUAACAAUAACCAGACAAAAAUGAAGAAUGUUAUGUCUGACAUGAACACACUGGAAGGGAUUAAAAGUAGGUUGGAUGAAGCAGAGGACCAAAUUAGUGACUUGGAAGACAAGGUAGAAAUAAAUACACAAUUAGAGCAGCAAAUAGAAAAAAGGAUUAAAAAGCAGGAAGAUAGCUUAAGGGAGCUCUAGAACAACAUGAAACAUAACAACAUUCACAUUAUAGGAGUACUAGAAAAGGCAGAGGAUGAGAAAGGAACAGAGAACCUGUUUAAAGAAAUAAUGACAGAAAACUUACCCAACCUGGUGAAGGAAAAUGCCAUACAAGUUCAGGAGGCACAAAGCAUUCCAAUCAAGAUGAACCCAAAGAGACCCACAUCUAGACAUAUCACAAUUAAAAUAGCAAAUGUUAAAGAUAAAGAAAGAAUCUUAAAGGCCUCAAGAGAGAGAAAAAAAAUUCAUACAAAAGGGUUCCCAUUAAAAUGUCAACUAACUUCCCUAGAGAAACACUUCAGGCCAGGCCAGAAGGGAGUAGCAUGAAGUACUAGAAGUAAUGAAAAGCAAGGUCCUGAAUCCAAGACUACUGUAUCGAGGCUGUCAUUUAAAAUUGAAGGUGAAAUAAAAAGCUUUUCAGACAAAAAAGAGGUUAAAGGAGUACAAUACCACUAAACUAGCAAUGCAAGAAAUGUCAAAGGGACUGUUUUAAGAAGAAGAAAAGGAGAGAGAGGAUCAUAGGCAUAAAGAAAAUAAAAAUGGCAAUAAACAAAUACCUAUCUAUAAUAUUUUAAAUGUAAAUGGACUAAAUGAUCCAGUCAAAAGACAUAGGGUGACUGGAUAAGAAACAUGACCCAUAUAUAUGGUGUCUACAAGAGAUGCAUCUCAAAAAAAAAGAUACACAAGACUGAGAGUGAAGGAAUGGAAAAAUAUAUUCCAUGCAAAUGGAAAGGAAAAAAAAAACACAUCGAGUAGCAAUACUCAUAUUAGACAAAAAAAGAUUUCAAAAUGAAGGCCAUAACAAGAGACAAAGAAGGCCACUUCAUAAUAGUAAAGGGAUUGAUUCAAAAAGAAAAUAUAACCCUUGUAAACAUAUAUGCACCCAAUAUAAGAGCACCCAAGAACAUUAAAAAACUCUUGAUAGACCUUAAGGGAGAGAUUGACAACAAUACAGUUGUAGUGUGGGACUUUAACACCCUACUGAGAUUAUGGGAUCGAUCUUUCAGACAAAAAAUUAACAAGGAAACAGAGGCCGUAGGUGACACACUAAAUCAGAUGGAUGUAACUGAUAUUUAUGGAACAUUUCACCCCAAAGCAACCGUGUAUAUUCAAGUGCACAUGGAACAUUCUCAAAGAUAGGCUACAUGCUAGGGCACAAAACAAGUCUAUACAAAUUCAAGAAGAUUGAUAUAAUACCAAGCAUCUUCUCAGAUCACAAUGGCAUGAAGUUAGAAAUGAAGUACAAUAAAAUACUCAAAAACACUCAAAUACAUGGAAGCUAGUAGCAUGUUAUUAAACAAUGAAUAUGGUUAUCAAUGAGAUCAAGUAAGAAAUUAAAUAGUUCCUGGA